AGUGAACGCUGGCGGUAGGCCUAACACAUGCCAGUCGAACGGCAGCACCGUAAGAGCUUGCUCUUACGGGUGGCGAGUGGCGGACGGGUGAGGAAUACAUCGGAAUCUACUUUUUCGUGGGGGAUCACGUAGGGAAACUUACUCUAAUACCGCAUACGACCUACGGGUGAAAGCAGGGGAUCUUCGGACCUUGCGCGAUUGAAUUAGCCGAUGUCGGAUUAGCUAGUUGGCGGGGUAAAGGCCCACCAAGGCGACGAUCCGUAGCUGGUCUGAGAGGAUGAUCAGCCACACUGGAACUGAGACACGGUCCAGAGUCCUACGGGAGGCAGCAGUGGGGAAUAUUGGACAAUGGGCGCAAGCCUGAUCCAGCCAUACCGCGUGGGUGGAGAAGGCCUUCGGGUUGUAAAGCCCUUUUGUUGGGAAAGAACAGCAGCAGGUUAAUACCCCGCUGUUCUGACGGUACCCAAAGAAUAAGCACCGGCUAACUUCGUG
rnacentral:rRNA from 1 species